AGUUAUAAUUAUUAUCUAUUUUUUUAUUAAAAACUGAAGUGAUUGAUGAAAUAACUAGAAAGAUACACAUAGUGUGCCAUGUAUAUAUUAUGUUAACAUAUAAAGACUAGCUUUUAAUGAUAGAAAUAGAUAAUUUUUUUAAUA
rfam:Gossypium raimondii Chr07_contig_39, whole genome shotgun sequence.